GAUGAACGCUGGCGGCGUGCUUAACACAUGCAAGUCGAGCGCGUCUGAUUUGAUGCUUGCAUUGAUGAAAGAUGAGCGGCGGACGGGUGAGUAACGCGUGGGUAACCUGCCCUAUACACAUGGAUAACAUACUGAAAAGUUUACUAAUACAUGAUAAUAUAUAUUUACGGCAUCGUAGAUAUAUCAAAGUGUUAGCGGUAUAGGAUGGACCCGCGUCUGAUUAGCUAGUUGGUGAGAUAACUGCCCACCAAGGCGACGAUCAGUAGCCGACCUGAGAGGGUGAUCGGCCACAUUGGAACUGAGACACGGUCCAAACUCCUACGGGAGGCAGCAGUGGGGAAUAUUGCACAAUGGGCGCAAGCCUGAUGCAGCAACGCCGCGUGAACGAUGAAGGUCUUCGGAUCGUAAAGUUCUGUUGCAGGGGAAGAUAAUGACGGUACCCUGUGAGGAAGCCCCGGCUAACUACGUGCCAGCAGCCGCGGUAAUACGUAGGGGGCUAGCGUUAUCCGGAUUUACUGGGCGUAAAGGGUGCGUAGGUGGUCUCUCAAGUCGGUGGUUAAAGGCUACGGCUCAACCGUAGUUAGCCUCCGAAACUGGAAGACUUGAGUGCAGGAGAGGAAAGUGGAAUUCCCAGUGUAGCGGUGAAAUGCGUAGAUAUUGGGAGGAACACCAGUAGCGAAGGCGGCUUUCUGGACUGCAACUGACACUGAGGCACGAAAGCGUGGGUAGCAAACAGG
rnacentral:rRNA from 1 species